rnacentral:rRNA from 1 species
CAUGCAAGUCGAACGGUAACAGGAUGUGCUUGCACAUCGCUGACGAGUGGCGGACGGGUGAGUAAUGCUUGGGAACUUGCCUUUGCGAGGGGGAUAACAGUUGGAAACGACUGCUAAUACCGCAUAAUGUCUUCGGACCAAACGGGGCUUCGGCUCCGGCGCAAAGAGAGGCCCAAGUGAGAUUAGCUAGUUGGUAAGGUAACGGCUUACCAAGGCGACGAUCUCUAGCUGUUCUGAGAGGAAGAUCAGCCACACUGGGACUGAGACACGGCCCAGACUCCUACGGGAGGCAGCAGUGGGGAAUAUUGCACAAUGGGGGAAACCCUGAUGCAGCCAUGCCGCGUGUGUGAAGAAGGCCUUCGGGUUGUAAAGCACUUUCAGUUGUGAGGAAAAGUUAGUAGUUAAUACCUGCUAGCCGUGACGUUAACAACAGAAGAAGCACCGGCUAACUCCGUGCCAGCAGCCGCGGUAAUACGGAGGGUGCGAGCGUUAAUCGGAAUUACUGGGCGUAAAGCGCACGCAGGCGGUUUGUUAAGCUAGAUGUGAAAGCCCCGGGCUCAACCUGGGAUGGUCAUUUAGAACUGGCAGACUAGAGUCUUGGAGAGGGGAGUGGAAUUCCAGGUGUAGCGGUGAAAUGCGUAGAUAUCUGGAGGAACAUCAGUGGCGAAGGCGACUCCCUGGCCAAAGACUGACGCUCAUGUGCGAAAGUGUGGGUAGCGAACAGGAUUAGAUACCCUGGUAGUCCACACCGUAAACGCUGUCUACUAGCUGUGUGUGCCUUUAAGGCGUGCGUAGCGAAGCUAACGCGCUAAGUAGACCGCCUGGGGAGUACGGCCGCAAGGUUAAAACUCAAAUGAAUUGACGGGGGCCCGCACAAGCGGUGGAGCAUGUGGUUUAAUUCGAUGCAACGCGAAGAACCUUACCUACACUUGACAUGCUGAAAAGUUACUAGAAGAUAGUUUCGUGCCUUCGGGAACUCAGACCCAGGUGCUGCAUGGCUGUCGUCA